rnacentral:lncRNA from 1 species
UCUGUUGUUUUCUUAUUCGCUCGUAGGUGAGAAUUUCAUCGAGGAUUGGGCGGGAGCUUGGACUUAGCGGCCAGGAGUAGCGACGCGGAGCUGGGAAUUGUAGGAGUGCCUGGGCCUCACGGUACCGUGAGCACAUGCAUGGGUUUGCACCCUUGAGAGCGUGUGGACACUAAUCCCCCCUCGAGGUUAGAGUAGCGGGGGUUGCGCGAUUUCCGGUUGGUAAGACCGGCGGCUCAACGCAGCAGGUAUGCGAGGUAACUUCAGGUAACAUCCGUAAACCGUCGCUUUGCUGCAUCGCAUACACUGUCUUUGCGCAACGUUUUCCUUGUGCUCUUUAACACAAGUGCGCGAGCCGGUUCAUGUCCCGCGGGCGUGCCGGGGCCUCUAGGGCUCGUGUUUUAGCGACUUGAUUUGUGAGUGUAUGGACAAUUUCUGGUGGUGAAAUUGCCCUAUGCUCACAAAUCUGUCGAAGGGUAAUUUUCGGCGUCCUACUCAGUGCUGUGCUGCGUGCCGUCGCGUCUGGACGAUGCUACCGAAAAUUGCUAUCUUGUCGGAGUUUUGGGCACUAGGCCUGGAGCCCGUUCCGCGGGGUCGGGGACCGGGCUGGGGGCCUUGUGGCGCCUCGGGCGCGCCGUGUUCCUCCUGCUUGUCGCGUUCCUCUGAUUUGCGCCAUAACCUGUACUGACUUUGGGCCCGCCCUCCCCGUGCCGCUGCCCCGCGGCAUCGACGUCCCCAUAAGCUGUACGUGUACUUGGACCUGGUGCUACAUGGCCGCAUGAGGGGAGUACCUAGCGUGUGCCGCCUCCGUCACACCAUGGAGUGGGGAGCGGGGGUUUUUCCCCCGCCAGCCCAUGGUGCUGACACCCCAUUUGCAUUUGCCGUCAUGCAUGCGCCCAUGCCGUCCCCCGCCUGUUUACUUGCUCGUGGUCGCCCACCCUCCGUCUCUUUCCUAAAUCGCGCAACCCCUAGUAUAGUUAAUUGGGCUGGGACUGGGCUGCGUGUUUGCUCUUGCUAGUCGCGCGCCGCCGCGCUAACAUGUUCCUUCGCUCUUGUUCGUGACACUCCCCUGCUGCCGCCCUGUGCUCUGUUGUUUUCUUAUUCGCUCGUAGGUGAGAAUUUCAUCGAGGAUUGGGCGGGAGCUUGGACUUAGCGGCCAGGAGUAGCGACGCGGAGCUGGGAAUUGUAGGAGUGCCUGGGCCUCACGGUACCGUGAGCACAUGCAUGGGUUUGCACCCUUGAGAGCGUGUGGACACUAAUCCCCCCUCGAGGUUAGAGUAGCGGGGGUUGCGCGAUUUCCGGUUGGUAAGACCGGCGGCUCACCGCAGCAG